AAGACACCCUUCUGGGGCAAGACUUGCUUCAGUGGGGCUUUGGUGCUCACUGAGUCUGCCCCCUCAGUGUGGUCAUU
rfam:Myotis davidii contig114258, whole genome shotgun sequence.